rnacentral:rRNA from 1 species
GACGAACGCUGGCGGCGUGCUUAACACAUGCAAGUCGAACGGAAAGGCCCUGCUUUUGUGGGGUGCUCGAGUGGCGAACGGGUGAGUAACACGUGAGUAACCUGCCCUUGACUUUGGGAUAACUUCAGGAAACUGGGGCUAAUACCGGAUAGGAGCUCCUGCUGCAUGGUGGGGGUUGGAAGGUUUCGGCGGUUGGGGAUGGACUCGCGGCUUAUCCGCUUGUUGGGGAGGUAGUGGCUUACCAAGGCUUUGACGGGUAGCCGGCCUGAGAGGGUGACCGGCCACAUUGGGACUGAGAUACGGCCCAGAAUCCUACGGGAGGCAGCAGGGGGGAAUAUUGCACAGUGGGGGGAAGCCUGAUGCAGCAACGCCGGGUGCGGGAUGACGGCCUUCGGGUUGUAAACCGCUUUCGCAUGUGACGAAGCGUGAGUGACGGUAAUGGGUAAAGAAGCACCGGCUAACUACGUG